rnacentral:lncRNA from 1 species
GUUUAUAUUGGGCGCUUCAGUACAAUACAUCUGUCCUUUCUGAUAAAAGUGGCAAUAUAUCUAAUAACUCUUGAAAUUGAUCGAUACUCAUAGCAGUUUAUAAGAAAGCUUGAACUCGUAAGUAUAAAUAUAAUUUUUAAAACAUUUCAUAAACGUAUAGUAAAUCUUUGCAUGCACGUAUGGAUGCAUACGUAUACGUAGAAAAGGUGGCUCUCAAUUGUUAUUAACGUAACACCUAGUAAUACCUAGUUUUGGUCCGCCGUUAGAUCAUUUCUGUCAUACAUGGCAAUGACGGAAAGAAUAUCGUCGUAUAUUACAGUUGAUGAGUUGAAGCUAAGGUAUGCUCAGUCAUGCCUUUGCAAUUGGUCACUGGACCUUUUGGAUAAAUUCUAUAUAACUGAUGUUGUAUUGCGUUGCUCCUAAAUUAAUUAAACCCUAGAAAAUUGACGUUGAUCAUGACCAUGCAGAAUGAUUUGGUAGGAUCGAAAGAAAAAACGUCUGGUCUCAAACAACGGCUCUCAAACAACGGGCCUCAAACAACUGGUCUCAAACAACUUCUCCCAUGCAUAUAUCUUAUAUCCCCCAAAUGUAUUUAACCUUUUAGAUCAUACCAAAUACCGCUGAGGUUCUUCGAUUCUGGGGAAUGUGGCAUUUUGAGUUACGUUUGUAUCUUCCUGAAAUCUGAUCAAAUAUCGUUGUAGUAAUUACUAAAGAAUUUAAAACGUC